GCGAACAGGAUUAGAUAGCCUGGUAGUCCACGCCGUAAACGGUGGGCGCUAGUUGUGGGAACCUUCCACGGUUUCUGCGACGCAGCUAACGCAUUAAGCGCCCCGCCUGGGGAGUACGAUCGCAAGAUUAAAACUCAAAGGAAUUGACGGGGCCCCGCACAAGCAGCGGAGCAUGCGGCUUAAUUCGACGCAACGCGAAGAACCUUACCAAGGCUUGACAUAUACAGGAAUACGGCAGAGAUGUCGUAGCGGUAAAACGUCUGUAUACAGGUGGUGCAUGGUUGUCGUCAGCUCGUGUCGUGAGAUGUUGGGUUAAGUCCCGCAACGAGCGCAACCCUCGUUCUGUGUUGCCAGCAUUUAGUUGGGGACUCACAGGAGACUGCCGGGGUUAACUCGGAGGAAGGUGGGGAUGACGUCAAAUCAUCAUGCCCCUUAUGUCUUGGGCUGCACGCAUGCUACAAUGGCUGGUACAAAGGGCUGCAAUACUGCAAAGUGGAGCGAAUCCCAAAAAGCCAGUC
rnacentral:rRNA from 1 species